GACGAACGCUGGCGGCGUGCCUAACACAUGCAAGUCGAACGGACUAAUGUUUGACACUGAUUGUUUUCGAGCGGAAGCUAAAGGCCAGCAAGGCGUAAGCGAAGCGAGCGCCCAAGCGACCAAAAAAGUGCCUAACACUCAUAGCAAAGCGAAGAGAGAACAGUGAGUGUCGAACAUUAGUUAGUGGCGGACGGGUGAGUAACGCGUGGGCAACCUACCCAUAAGCGGGGGAUAACAGUUGGAAACGGCUGCUAAUACCGCAUAAGCUGUACAAUACGCAUGUUAAGUACAGUAAAGAUGGCCUCUUGACAAAGCUAUCACUUAUGGAUGGGCCCGCGUCUGAUUAGCUAGUUGGUAGGGUAGUGGCCUACCAAGGCAACGAUCAGUAGCCGGCCUGAGAGGGUGGACGGCCACACUGGGACUGAGACACGGCCCAGACUCCUACGGGAGGCAGNAGUGGGGAAUAUUGCGCAAUAGGGGAAACCCUGACGCANCGACGCCGCGUGAGCGAAGAAAGGCCUUANGGUUGUAAAGCUCUGUUGUAAGGGAA
rnacentral:rRNA from 1 species